rnacentral:rRNA from 3 species
UGCCCGGUAGCUAAAUGCGGAAAAGAUAAGUGCUGAAAGCAUCUAAGCACGAAACUUGCCCCGAGAUGAGUUCUCCCUGAGACUUAGAGUCUCCUGAAGGAACGUUGAAGACGACGACGUUGAUAGGCCGGGUGUGUAAGCGCAGCGAUGCGUUGAGCUAACCGGUACUAAUGAACCGUGAGGCUUAACCUUACAACGCCGAAG